UACAGAGGUGGCAAGCGUUGUUCGGAAUUACUGGGCGUAAAGCGCACGUAGGCGGAUUGUUAAGUUAGGGGUGAAAUCCCAGGGCUCAACCCUGGAACUGCCUUUAAUACUGGCAAUCUCGAGUCCGAGAGAGGUGAGUGGAAUUCCGAGUGUAGAGGUGAAAUUCGUAGAUAUUCGGAGGAACACCAGUGGCGAAGGCGGCUCACUGGCUCGGUACUGACGCUGAGGUGCGAAAGCGUGGGGAGCAAACAGG
rnacentral:rRNA from 1 species